ensembl:lncRNA
GGUAGAUUUAUGAUCAGUUAUUUUUAAGUAUCUUGUAAUCUGUACAAAGUAAUUAUCCAUAAACGAAUAUAGGUUGGCUUGAUUUAAAAAUUCUGAGGAAAUACUAGCCGUCUUUAAUAAUUUCUAUGAAGUGUAUUAGAUAAAAGAUGUGACAACAAAAGUUAUUCUAAUUUUGUAGGAAUUUUAACUUGAAAAUUUUUGGAUUGUUACAGAGGAAAGUGAACAAGUAAAAAUCAUUCUGACAAAUGACAAUUUGAAGCUGAAUGCUGUUGUUAGCUUGGUAUUCGCUGCACUGACUCUGUGCCUCCUCUGCAGUAGUUACAGUGAGGUACAGAAACUUGCAUCUACUUUAUAAUGAACACAGACAUAUAUACCAAAGUGAGUUCCUGCCAACAGCUGAAUUACAUGUCACUGUUCACCUGAACACUUGUUAACUAAAGCUCUCUCAGAAAAAGAAACACAACAAAAUACUACCUUUUUUAAAAAGAUGGCAAAAUUAAGUUUAGAAAGGUUUAGUAAUGCUUUCUUCUAAAACAAGGCAUUUCAGAAUUCCAUUAUCAGAAAACUGAAGUGUUGGUAGAACUUAUACAAAGAUUAUAUACAAAGAAUUAUACAAAGAUUAACAUUUGUAUUUUGUUCAAAGAACAAGAUAAGAUAGCAGGACUUAUUCUCUGAUAUCUACAACUUAUAAGUAAAAUCUUUAUUUAAAAUUUUGUGUUACAUUAUAUAUUACGUAUAAUUUGUAUUUUGUAGCUGCAUGGCUCAGGAGUGGUAUCCAUUUAGUUAUGUUGCUGAAAGUAUAAUUUUUUAAUGCAUCAAGAAUUAAGCUUCUAGAAAGUUCUGCAUACCUAAUUGCUUCUGGGGUCCAUAGUAUGACAAGUGUAACAAUUUUGAAGUGGUUUACACUUGAAUUGCAGACGUCACAGAAAAAGACUGCUUUCAGUCCCUGUACAACACUUAAUGAAGCUAUAAGAUGAAUGAGCCACUCAGCCUCCAUCCACUUGUGGGGCAGUUUAAAUAAAAAAGUCUGGCACUGCUUUCUACUCCUAUUUUACACUGAUAGAAAAAAGACUAGCAGAUGAGGAUCUACUUCUGAGUGACUUGUGAGUUAUCACUUAAUUUGUCUCCUUACUAUUAUAGUAAUCAUGCCACUUGUUAGGAGGAGAACACCUAUUUGACUGUUCAGAUUACACAUGAACUUAAACUGAGUUUAAUGAGUUAUUUAUGGAAAUCUCCAAGAAAUAGGUUUGGACUCACAAUGCAUUUAUAGACAAAAAGACCUGCUCUUUUUCUGUUGCUUGCUUGAUCAUUGGGACUUUAAAAAAUGAUGCAUGUCUUUUUUAAUUAAUUGGGUGAUGUUUUUCUAAAAUUAAAAUUUUCUUCUUCCUAUAGCCCUGCCAUAGGACAGGCUGAGGCUGAGUCUCAGUGUUGCCCUGUUCAGUCUGAGCAGCAGAAUUUCAGCAUUUGCUACUUACUGGUAGAGAAGAAAAACCCCACAGCCCUGCCAGUACAGGUUAGUUUAAUCUGUAAGUACCUGAUGUUCCUUUUUUUUCCCCUCCCACCCCACAAACAUAACCAUUUAAGGCACAUAAGGAAGGAAGCUGCUGUGCAGUUACUUACUGUGAGUAUAGUAACAUUGGGUGCUCUCAGACACUCAGUUCUUGGGCCAGAUGGAUUUCUAGGUUUGGGAACCUCAGCUGUAAUAAAGGUGUGAUGCAGCUCCUUGAUUAUUGGUUGUUCUUGACCUAUGUAGAUACCUCCUAUAUAAUAGAGGAAAGAAAUACUUGGAUUGGCUCAGUCCAUGGUGGUAAUAGUUUGUAUGUCUCUGUAAGCUAUAAAUUACAUCACUGGCUUGGAAGCUCACCGCACAUUGAGAACCCUGCACAGUGGUGCACAUCUUUAAUCCCAGAACUCUGCAGGCAGAGGUAGACAUAGUGUAAAUUUAAGGCCAGGCUAGGCUGUGUAAUGAUUCCCUGUCUUUAACAAAAGAAAGGUAAUUCUUGGAAGACGAGGAAGUCAUGCACAUCUUGCUUGAUAAAGCCAAUAAAAAUAAGUCAGAUACUGAUUAGCCAGCCUUCGAUUGGAUCAUUAUUAUUUUAUUUGGGAAUAAUAAGAUUUGUUUAAAUUUUUAAUGAUCUACAUCUACUGACCAAUAGUAAAAUGUAUUCUGUGAGUUUCCCCCCACAUUGCUUUUUAAUUGUAAAAUUGCCUGAGGGCUUAAGUUUUAUUGCCUUUCACAGUUUAUAAGAAUGGCGUAGAUACAGUGGAAAUGGUUUUCCUUAAAACCAUCUCUUUAAGAGCUGCCUUUCUGGUGAGUACUGCUUUAUAAUUUUUGUAUCACACUUUUUUUUAAGCUAGCUGGGAGGUGACAGUGAUUGAAAAGUGCAGUCCGAAUUGUCAAAGCUUGGACCAGAACCUUAAGGUGAUGGUUACUACCUGAUUCUCUAUGUUCCCUGUUUAGAUUCUCUUUUUUCCCCCUCAUUUCCCUAAAGGAUUGUGUGCAUAAAAACAUUGAACGCAGAUCAUUUGCUUUGGUGAGGGGAAAAAUUGUUUUGUUUUGGUUUUUUUUUUUUUUUUUUUUUUUUUUAAUGUUUAAGAAAAUGUAGGGACAGGAGGCAUGGCUCACUAGUUAAGACCAUGUCAUACCCCAGGUGGUGGCAUCCGCUCUGCAGGCAGAGACCAGUCAUUGCUGAGUUUCAGGACAACCAGGGCUGUAUAGAGGAGUCUCCCCAAAGUGAAGGAAUGUGUCCUGCGUUUGUUGGAAUCAGUUGAGGUUCCCAGUGUGUGUCCUGGCUCACAACCACCGCUCCUUCAGGAUCUGACACCUUGAACUUUUGUGCUCAUAUACUUAAAACACAUGCAUACAAUUAAGAAAUACAUAUGUUUUAAAGAUCAAAGAUUACCUUUUUUGCCCCAGUGCUCAUUUCUCACUGCUAGGUUAAGGAAAUAAUAGAUUUAGUACUCUCUUCUCGAGUACUUGAACUGUAUAAAUCAUUCCAACCCUGCAUGGAAAACUUGCAUUACAAAUGCAGAUUUUUAGCAUUUGUUUACCUGGGAAGAUUAACUUACAAAAAUAUUUUACUGUCUUGUUUAGUGACGAGUUUGUAACAUAAGGAUUUUUCCCUGUAGUUUUUAAGCUAGAUUUUUAGAUAAUGCAGGCAUAUUUGUAUAUACAUUGUAUUUCUUCUAUGAUUUUUGUGAAUAAAUCUACCUUUUUCCUCCUUAGUAUAGACAAUAUUUGUUUUCUAAAAUCUGAAAUGUGUAAUCUGAGUGUGUGUGGUAAUGUAUUCUAGGUGAGCUCUCAACAAAGUUUUGAGCCUAAAUUUGUGUCUUUAGAUUAUAGUGAAAUAAAUUUCUAAGGAACUCUGUCCUUUCCUAGCAUGGAUAAACAGACAGUGACAGUUGGUAAGUAUGUAACUUUAAAUGCAUGUAGUAGUGGUAAAGUUGAGCUACCAAACUAUUCCAAGACAGUUAGAAGUGAGUCCUUCUAGGACUUUAUAUGUAUAUCUGACAUUUUCUCCAAAUCUAUGUACUCAUGAUUAAACUGAAAUGCACCUUACUUGUCUGAUUUGUUUUUUGUUGUUCAUUUUGUUUUUAGAAGAAUUUUGUAUGGUAGUUUAAAAAUCUAAUUUUAUAUUUAAAACUUUCCUUGGUGUAUCAGUACGUGGCUCUUCUGACAACCCAAUAUUGAUCCGAAGUUUACUUCAAACACUUUGGUUUCCAUUUAAAACUAAGCAAAAUAUAGUGGCAAAAGAGAGGACUACUCUAAUUUUAGUCUAUAAUAGGAAAUCAGUGCAGAAUUACGCUUUAUUUUUAUUUAUGUGUCUGUGGUGCACCCACAUGCAGUUUUCUCCUGAGGCCAGAAGAUUGUCUGAUUGUUAGAGUGGAGUAGAGCUUCAGACACUGGUAACCCACCCCUGAGCAGUACCCAUUCAUCCUUGGCCAGUUCGGGUCAGUGUUGGAAUUUGGUGGUGGGAAGAAGGCUUUCUUAUUUUUUAUGAUUGCGGCCCCCCAAUUGUGAGAAUUAUUUCAGGGGGUAGAUCGGAGGACAACUUCUUUACAGUUUGUGUUCGUAUGUGGUUUCUAGGGAGACAUCUCAACCACCCUCUGGUGUUCUGUUGGUAACAGAAGUAUGACAGGUAAAAUGAAAAGCAUUUUAAUUUUAUUUCUGAGACAUAAGUCAUUUAUUUACAGCAUUGUUUUCUGAAAAGUUAAAGAAGUGGGUAUGCAUGUCUUUAAUUUAGUCUCCAGGUUUACUCCUAACAAGUGUCAGUUGGAUUUGGAGGAAAUGAAGAGCCAAAUCCUGUGGGGAUGUGAUUGUAUGGAGGGUCUGAGUAUAGCAGCAGGAGGAAGAAUAAACUUGCAGCCUGUGUGCUAUUAAAUGGUACAGGAGCAGAGAUCGUGACGAAUGUUACUUUAUAACUAUGUCUGCUAAAGAUAAUUAUAUGCUAGCCUUUAAUUCAUUAACAUUGGAACCUUGUGAUACAUGAAUUUUGGUCGAGUUUAUUUAAAAAUAAAAAUUUCCCACACAAAUAAUAGUGUAUGUGAUACUUUGAUGUGUCUGUCUCCUGGCUCAGGAACAUUAAAGUGUGUUCUUCCCCAAUUCAAAUACUUUGCUGGCCUGGAACUCCCAGAAAUCGUUCUGCCUUUUGUCUCUCCAAUGGUGCGAUUAAAGGUGUGCACCACUGAACUGGGCAUAAAUUUGGUUCUUUUCAUCCUCUCUAGUUCCUGUAUUAUAUAUGCACAUACAAAACACUCUGUAGAAUAGGUUGUCUAUAAGCUCCCCUUUCCUCUGCCACCUCAGUGUGCCACCAUGCACACAUAUAAAUUAUGUCCAUGGAAGUGCAAUUGUCUGUAGAGGACAAGAAGUGUUUGAAUCCCCUGGAGUUACAGAUGAUUGUCAGCCACCGGAUAUUUAUGCAGAGAACAGAAUCAAUUCUUUUGUAAGAGCAUUUAGUUACCUUAACCACUCAGCCAUCUCUCUGUGUGUGUGUGUGUGUGUGUGUGUGUGUGUGUGUGUGUGUGUGUGUGUGUGAGAGAGAGAGAGAAUGCGCAAGCGGACAUGCGCGCUCAAGAGUGCACACUGUAACUGUCGUAAGAGAUAUCAGAAGAUGGCAUCAGAUCCCAUUACACCCAUUACAGAUGGUUGUGAGCCACCAUGUGGUUGCUGGGAAUUGAAUUUAGAACCUCUAGAAGAGCAGUGAGUGCUCUUAACCGCUGAGCUAUCUCUUCAGUCCCAAGGAACAAUUUUUUAACAAAAACGAUCUAGAGGUUGUAUACAUAUUCCCCACCUCAUGGGAAGCAGAGGCAGGCAAAUGUCUAAGAUUUAGGCUGGCCAAGUCUAGUCACAAGCCCUUUCUCAAAAACAAAUAAGUGAAUUUAAGUCAUGUUCUAUUAUAUGUAUGUGAGUGGGUGUUUUGUAUGUAUGCAUGUGUACCAUAGGCAUGUUUGGUUUCCACAGAGGUGGGAAAUGGAUGUCUGAUCCUGUGGGCUGCAGUCACACAUGGUUGUGAAUCACCAUGUGGGUGCUGGGAAUUGAACACCUGUCCUGCAAGAGCGAGCAGUAUUCUUACCUCUCCAGUCCUGAGACCAGGUUUUUGUUUUGUUUUGUUUUUUGUUUCUCGGAGCUGGGAACCGAACCCAGGGCCUUGGCGCUUGCUAGGCAUGCGUUCUACCACUGAGCUAAAUCCCCAAGUCCAAGUUUUAUUAAAAGGUUCGGGCUGUCCUAAACUUAAAAUUAUAUUCAGUCUCUGAAGUAGUGUUUCACAGAGUGCUUUAUUCAUAACGUAUUUGAAAAAUUUUUGUUCAAUGCAUUGUAAGUUUCAUUUUCAUUCUAGAUAAUGUAAGAGUGAAUUUAUCUGUCAGAUUUGAUAUCUGAGUGAAUCAUGGUGUUUUUUUCUUUUUUAAAGAUUUAUUUAUUUCAUAUAUGUGAGUACACUGUAGCUGUCUUGAGACACAUCAGAAGAGGGCAUCAGAUACCAUUACAGAUGGUUGUGAGCCACCAUGUGGUUGCUGGGAAUUGAAUUCAGGACCUCUAGAGAGGAGCUGUUGGUGCUCUUAACCGCUGAGCCAUCUCUCCAGCCUGAAUCAUGGUGUUCUGAUCAGGACUUUUAUUCUAACUUUUUUUUUUCGGAGCUUGGGACCGAACCCAGGGCCUUGCGCUUGCUAGGCAAGUGCUAUAUCACUGAGCUAAAUCCCCAACCCCUAUUCUAACUUUUAAAUACCAAAAGUCUUUUAGAUAGCAAUUUGGCAGGCAAUAUGUAGUUAGUAAAUAUUUGAUGAAAAUUUGGACUUAGGGAUUUUUGCUUUGUGUGUGUGGCUGAGGAGUUGGGCUAUUUUUUAAAGAUUUUACUUAUUUUAUAUAAGUGAGUAUCCUGUCACUCUCUUCAGACAUAACAGAAGAGGGAAUCAGAUUGUGUUUCAGAUGGUUGUUGAGCCACCAUGUGGUUGCUGGGAAUUGAACUCAGGACCUCUGGAAGAACAAUCAGUGCUCUUAACCACUGAGCCAUCUCUCCAGCCCCAAACUCACUUUUGAUUGAAUCCUGUCUAUCUCAUGUGCUGGGAUUGUAGGAUAUUCUAUUCUUUUCAGAAAUGCAAAUUUGUAUUUGGUACUCUUCAGAAUAAAAGGUUAUUUUCUGUAUGAUGAAAGAUGGUAAAAAGGAAAAAAAGAUAGCUGUAUUUUAGAUUAUAAACUACAUCUGAACCAGGCAGUUCAAUAAAAUAGUAUGCUUUGUGGAAAUUUUGUGACCCUUUUAAACAAGACUCAGUGAUAUGUUCAAUAC